UUACGACCAUAUCACGUUGUAAUAGCGGUUCUCGUACGGUCACUGAAGCUAAGCAACAUCGAGCCUCGUCAGUACCUAGAUGAAUGAUCACUUGGGAAUACCAGGUGCUGUAA